rfam:Stegodyphus mimosarum contig111548, whole genome shotgun sequence.
GCCUUUGUGGUGUAGUGGUCAGUACACUCGACGCGUAUUCGAGAGAUCCGUGGUUCGAGUUCCGGCGAGGGCA